CAUUACCGAGCUCAUGCCCUUACGGGUAGAUCUCCCACCCUAUGUUAUCAUUACCUUUGUUGCUUUGGCGGGCCGCCCGGCUUCGGCUAGGCUAUCGGCUUCGGCUGGUAAGCGCCCGCCAGAGGACCCCACAUCCUGAUUAUUAGUGUCGUCUGACUACUAUAUAAUAGUUAAAACUUUCAACAACGGAUCUCUUGGUUCUGGCAUCCAUGAAGAACGCAGCCAAAUGCGAUAAAUAAUGUGAAUUGCAGAAUUCAGUGAAUCAUCGAAUCUUUGAACGCACAUUGCGCCCCUUGGUAUUCCGAGGGGCAUGCCUGUUCGAGCGUCAUUACAACCCUCAAGCAUUGCUUGGUGUUGGGCUCCGCUGCUUACCCAGCGGGCCUUAAAAUCAGUGGCGGUGCCGUCAGGCCCUGAGCGUACUAAAUCUUCUCGCUACAGGGUCUCGAUAGACGCUGGCCAUCACCCCUUGGAGGAGAACGGCGCGGAAUUGGAUAAGUAAUGUGGAAUGCAGGAUUUAGGUGAUCAUUGAAUUUUUGGAAGCACCUUGCGGCCCUUGGUAUUGCGGGGGGGCUUCCUGGUGGAGGGUCAAUUAAAACCUCAAACAAUGGUUGGUUUUGGGGUUCGGUGGUAACCCAAGGGGCCUUAAAAAUAGGGGGGGGGCCGGUGGGCCCUUAAGGUUGUAAAUUUUUCUGGUACCAGGACGCGAUAGGACGUUGCCUUAAG
rnacentral:misc_RNA from 1 species